UGGGGAAUAUUGCACAAUGGGGGAAACCCUGAUGCAGCGACGCCGCGUGAGUGAAGAAGGUCUUCGGAUCGUAAAACUCUGUCCUUGGUGAAGAAAGAAAUGACGGUAGCCAAGGAGGAAGCCCCGGCUAACUACGUGCCAGCAGCCGCGGUAAUACGUAGGGGGCGAGCGUUGUCCGGAUUUACUGGGCGUAAAGGGUGAGUAGGCGGUAAUAUGUGUCAGAUGUAAAAGGCUAAGGCUUAACCAUAGUUAGCAUUUGAAACUGUAUUACUUGAGUGCAGGAGAGGUAAGCGGAAUUCCUAGUGUAGCGGUGAAAUGCGUAGAUAUUAGGAGGAACACCAGUGGCGAAGGCGGCUUACUGGACUGUAACUGACGCUGAGUCACGAAAGCGUGGGUAGCAAACAGGAUUAGAUACCCUGGUAGUCCACGCUGUAAACGAUGAGUACUAGGUGUCGGCUGUCAAAGGUCGGUGCCGGCGUUAACACAUUAAGUACUCCGCCUGGGGAGUACGCUCGCAAGAGUG
rnacentral:rRNA from 1 species